rnacentral:rRNA from 1 species
AAUGAACGCUGGCGGCAUGCCUAACACAUGCAAGUCGAACGAGACCUUCGGGUCUAGUGGCGCACGGGUGCGUAACGCGUGGGAAUCUGCCCUUGGGUUCGGAAUAACAGUUAGAAAUGACUGCUAAUACCGGAUGAUGUCGUAAGACCAAAGAUUUAUCGCCCAAGGAUGAGCCCGCGUAGGAUUAGCUAGUUGGUGAGGUAAAAGCUCACCAAGGCGACGAUCCUUAGCUGGUCUGAGAGGAUGAUCAGCCACACUGGGACUGAGACACGGCCCAGACUCCUACGGGAGGCAGCAGUGGGGAAUAUUGGACAAUGGGCGAAAGCCUGAUCCAGCAAUGCCGCGUGAGUGAUGAAGGCCUUAGGGUUGUAAGGCUCUUUUACCCGGGAUGACAAUGACGGUACCCGGAGAAGAAGCCCCGGCUAACUUCGUGCCAGCCGCCGCCGUAAUAC